CCUACUGUCUUCCUCCUCCAUCAACCCACCAUCACGGUCACUCGCUUUGUUAGUUACAACAUUUUCUUCUGUGAUCUCAAUGCUUGCAGCCUGCUGUUUUACAGCGUCCACAUCUUUGGAGCAGCCUGCUAUCGCCUCAGCAGGCUCAGCCCGAUUUUCGGGGGCUAUUCCCGGGCAAGCUCUGACUAAAUGCCCUUCUUUCCCGCAGCUAAAACACUUCAGAGUUCCAGAGUUUACAAACACAGCAUAGUCAAAGUCAUCCACCCUUAAUUGAAAAACUAAACUCAGUUCACUGUCCUUCUUGUUCAGAAUCAUGUGCACUUGCCGUCUGUGUGACACUACAUGCCGCAGCAGGGGAGACUUGCAUCCCGACGGCAGCUUUCUGAUUGCAGACACUAUUUUCCCGUGCCUCGAUAGUUCCCGAACCAGAACCUCGUCGCCGAUGAACGGAGGGAUGUUAGAGAUAGUAAUCCUCGCUGCCGGCGGUGUAAGCAGAGACACGGACACAAACAAAUCCUUCACAACAAUCCCCGAUUCCACCAAUUGUUUGCCUUGGCCACGCUGUCCACAAAAAUGACGACCCCUCCGUUCAUCCGGGCCGUGGACCUGAUACUGCUGUGCCCGACAACGUCUGCCACUGCCAGACUGCAGUCCUCCAUUAACACGGGAAGGUGGUGGAGAUCUUGAAGCCAUGCCUGCGGCUGAGCUCCCCGAACGCCGCCAUACUCCAGGCGCACCGACCAGCGGCCACUGGUCGAUCGCCAAAAGAACAGCCCAAAGUAACACCAAAACCCACCAAACACCUCGCAAAACCUUUCAUUCAACUAUAUUUACAACAUUUACCGAAAAAAACUAUGAAAAAAGUUCGCAAAAACUUCUCAAAAUCGCUCUCACACACGCUCUGCAAAACUCGCUCCUUCCGCUCAGUCAGAGAGAGAGAGAGAGAGAGACCUUGAAAAUGUAUAUGAAGUGGAGAGAGAGACUCAUACCAAGAUACAGGUAGAGAGAGAGAGGUUAGGAGAAAGGUAGAGUGUGAGAGAGAGGUAGAGAUUGUUAACAGAGAGGUAAUGAGAGAGAGAGAGAACCAGUUAUGGUUUCAGGCUUAAAGCUUGGUCCAAACAGAGCCAAGGAAAGCCAGAUCUUUGGAAUGUAAACAACACGUGUGUUUAUUGCCCUUCUAGUAAAGGACUUCAGUGUUCUUAGUCCAGUCCAGUUUGUUAUCGAUGGACACCCCCAGAUAUUUGUAGUGUUCAACGAUGUCCACGUUAUGACCCAGGAUGGAAACUGGAGUCAUUGGUGUCUUCUUGGAUCUCCUCAGAUCCACCACCAGCUAUUUGGUUUUACUUGUGUUGAGCUGCGGGUGGUUCUGCUCACACCAUGUGACAAAGUUGUCCACCACAGCCCUGUAUUCAGCCUCCUCACAAUUACUGAUACAACCAACGACAGCAGAGUCAUCAGAGAACUUCUGAAAAUGUCAAGACUCUGUCUGGUAGCUGAAGUCUAUGGUGUAAAGGGUGAAGAGGAAAGGAGAGAGGACAGUCCCUUGUGGGGCCCCGGUGUUGCUGACCACCGCACCCGACACAGAGUGCCGCAGGCGCACGUACUGUGGUCGGCCAGUGAGGUAAUCCACAAUCCAGGACACAAGGGGGGGGGAUCGUCCAGCAUCGUCGUCACCUUGUCAACCAUGCUCCCUGGCGUGUCCAGGUGGGCGUAGACGCGGUUCAGCAGGUAGAUGAUGGCAUCUCAACUCAAAUCCGGGGCUGGUAGGCGAACUGGAGGGGAUCGAGGUACGGCCUGACCAUAGGCCUGAGAUGCUUCAAGACGAGUAGUUCCACUACUCAUCCAUUCACACACCCACUAAUUCUCUCAUCCACUAUUUUUUCUUUUUUUUAUUCACACAAAUUAAAAAAACAGUGGUUU